GGAUUGGGAGUCUUCUAAGGAAGACGCGGAGUGAAAAGUAGUGCCAAGAAAAGCGAUUCAAGCGUUGAAGAUGUCAUACCCGUACCCGAAACCGACACAGGUGGGCAGGUAGAGAAUACUAAGGGGCGCGAGAUAACUCUCUCUAAGGAACUCGGCAAAAUGACCCCGUAACUUCGGGAGAAGGGGUGCCAUCGAAAGGUGGUUGCAAUAAAGAGGCCCAGGCGACUGUUUACCAAAAACAUAGGUCUCUGCUAACUCGUAAGAGGAUGUAUAGGGGCUGACGCCUGCCCAGUGCCGGAAGGUUAAGGAAGUUGGUCAGUCUUCGGAUAAAGCUAGCGACUGAAGCCCCGGUGAACGGCGGCCGUAACUAUAACGGUCCUAAGGUAGCGAAAUUCCUUGUUGGGUAAGUUCCGACCCGCACGAAAGCGUAACGAUCUGGGCGCUGUCUCGGAGAGAGGCUCGGCGAAAUAGGAUUGUCUGUGAAGAUACGGACUACCUACACUUGGACAGAAAGACCCUAUGAAGCUUUACUAUAGCCUGGAAUUGUGUUCGGGCUUCCCUUGCGCAGAAUAGGUGGGAGGCGUUGAAAGUAGUCUUGUGGGAUUACUGGAGCCAUCGGUGAGAUACCACUCUAGGGAGGCUAGAAUUCUAACUUCAACCCGUAAUCCGGGAGAAGAACAGUUUCAGGUGGGUAGUUUGACUGGGGCGGUCGCCUCCAAAAAGGUAACGGAGGCGCACAAAGGUUCCCUCAGGCUGGAUGGAAAUCAGCCAGAGAGUGUAAAGGCACAAGGGAGCUUGACUGCGAGAGAGACAACUCAAGCAGGUAGGAAACUAGGUCUUAGUGAUCCGACGGUGCUGCGUGGAAAGGCCGUCGCUCAACGGAUAAAAGUUACUCUAGGAUAACAGGCUGAUCUCCCCCAAGAGUUCACAUCGACGGGGAGGUUUGGCACCUCGAUGUCGGCUCAUCGCAACCUGGGGCUGAAGUAGGUCCCAAGGGUUGGGCUGUUCGCCCAUUAAAGCGGUACGUGAGCUGGGUUCAGAACGUCGUGAGACAGUUCGGUCCAUAUCCGGUGUAGGCGCAAGAGCAUUGAGAGGAGUCUUCCUUAGUACGAGAGGACCGUAAGAACGCACCGCUGGUGUACCAGUUAUCGUGCCAACGGUAAACGCUGGGUAGCCAAGUGCGGAGAGGAUAACCGCUGAAAGCAUCUAAGUGGGAAGCCCACCUCAAGAUGAGUGCUCCCAUGGAGUAAUCCAGUAAGGUCACGGGAAGAACACCCGUUAAUAGGCGUUAGGUGGAAGAGCAGCAAUGUUUGUAGCCGAGACGUGCUAAUAGACCGAGGGCUC
rnacentral:rRNA from 1 species